GCACGGAAAUUUACCGCUAACAUAAGAGGUGUCAGAGCAAUACGUGCAUUCAUCACCGCUCGAUAGGUGUCGAACUAGCGGGAACAGACGGCGAGGCACUAGUUCAGCAAUCUAACCGCCUGCGCCAUGCGCGCAACACUCACUGU
ensembl:ncRNA F55A11.13 ncRNA